rnacentral:rRNA from 1 species
UGAGUACGAGAUGCUACGGCAUCGAAGCAGUCUAUGUCAUACUUCCAAGAAAAGCUUGCAAUGUCAUAAACAAAUAAUGCCUGUACCAUAACCGACACAGGUGGGUAGGUAGAGUAUACUAAGGGGCGCGAGAUAACUCUCUCUAAGGAACUCGGCAAAAUGACUCCGUAACUUCGGGAGAAGGAGUGCCUUAUUUUUAUAAGGUUGCAAUAACAAGAUCCAAGCAACUGUUUACCAAAAACACAGGUCUCCGCUAAGUCGUAAGACGAUGUAUGGGGGCUGACGCCUGCCCAGUGCCAGAAGGUUAAAGAAGUUGGUUAGCAUUAGCGAAGCUGAUAACUGAAGCCCUGGUGAACGGCGGCCGUAACGAUAACGGUCCUAAGGUAGCGAAAUUCCUUGUCGGGUAAGUUCCGACCCGCACGAAAGGCGUAAUGAUUUGGAUACUGUCUCGGAGAGGGGCUCGGUGAAAUAGACUUGUCUGUGAAGAUGCGGACUACCUGCACCUGGACAGAAAGACCCUAUGAAGCUUUACUGUAACUUGAGAUUGAAAUUGGACUUUAUCUGCGCAGUAUAGGUGGGAGACGUUGAAAAUAUUCUUGCGGGAAUAUUGGAGUCAUCAGUGAGAUACCACUCUUAUAAUGUUAGAUUUCUAACUUUGUAUCAUUAUCUGGUCAAAGAACAGUUUCAGGCGGGCAGUUUGACUGGGGCGGUCGCCUCCCAAACGGUAACGGAGGCGCACAAAGGUUUCCUCUGAACGUGUAGAAAUCGUAUCUAGAGUGUAAAGGCAUAAGGAAGCUUGACUGUGAGACCUACAAGUCGAGCAGGGACGAAAGUCGGUCUUAGUGAUCUGACGGUGCUGAGUGGAAAGGCCGUCACUCAACGGAUAAAAGUUACUCUAGGAUAACAGGCUGAUCUCCCCCAAGAGUUCACAUCGACGGGGAGGUUUGGCACCUCGAUGUCGGCUCAUCGCAUCCUGGGGCGGUAGUACGUCCCAAGGGUUGGGCUGUUCGCCCAUGAAAGCGGUACGCGAGCUGGGUUCAGAACGUCGUGAGACAGUUCGGUCCAUAUCCGGUGUAGGCGUUAGGAUAUUGAGAGGAGCCUUCUUUAGUACGAGAGGACCGAGAAGGACAUACCUCUGUGUACCAGUUAUCGUGCCAACGGUAAACGCUGGGUAGCCAUGUAUGGAGAGGAUAACCGCUGAAAGCAUCUAAGUGGGAAGCCCACCUCAAGAUAAG